AUUGAACGCUGGCGGCAGGCCUAACACAUGCAAGUCGAGCGGCAGCACGGAACUUGCUCCUUGAUUCGGGGGCGGACGGGUGGGUAAGUCCGAGGAACCUGCCUGUUUGUGUGUUAGAGCGGCCGAACACGGGCGCUCAUACCCCAUUCGUCCAUAGGGCCUACGUGUGGAAGCUGCGGACCUUACGCCCUCGCAUGAUCCUAGGUCGGAUUGUCUAGUUGGUGGGUUAAAGGCCUACCAAGGCGACGAUCCGUAACUGGUCUGAGAGGAUGAUCAGCCACACUGGAACUGAGACACGGUCCAGACUCCUACGGGAGGCAGCAGUGGGGAAUAUUGGACAAUGGGCGAAAGCCUGAUCCAGCCAUGCCGCGUGUGUGAAGAAGGUCUUCGGAUUGUAAAGCCCUUUAGGUUGGGAAGAAGGGCAGUAAGUUAAUACCUUGCUGUUUUGACGUUACCAAAAGAAUAAGCACCGGCUAACUUCGUG
rnacentral:rRNA from 1 species